GACGAACGCUGGCGGCGUGCCUAAUACAUGCAAGUUGAGCGAUGAAGAUUGGUGCUUGCACCAAUUUGAAGAGCAGCGAACGGGUGAGUAACGCGUGGGGAAUCUGCCUUUGAGCGGGGACAACAUUUGGAAACGAAUGCUAAUACCGCAUAACAACUUUAAACAUAAGUUUUAAGUUUGAAAGAUGCAAUUGCCUCACUCAAAGAUGAUCCCGCGUUGUAUUAGCUAGUUGGUGAGGUAAAGGCUCACCAAGGCGAUGAUACAUAGCCGACCUGAGAGGGUGAUCGGCCACAUUGGGACUGAGACACGGCCCAAACUCCUACGGGAGGCAGCAGUAGGGAAUCUUCGGCAAUGGACGAAAGUCUGACCGAGCAACGCCGCGUGAGUGAAGAAGGUUUUCGGAUCGUAAAACUCUGUUGGUAGAGAAGAACGUUGGUGAGAGUGGAAAGCUCAUCAAGUGACGGUAACUACCCAGAAAGGGACGGCUAACUACGUG
rnacentral:rRNA from 1 species